rnacentral:tRNA from 1 species
GGAUUGUUAGCUCAGCUGGGAGAGCACCGCCCGCUUUUUACAAAAACACGGUUGCCACUGGUUCGAACCCAGUACAAUCCACCA